AUACGUAGGGAGCGAGCAUUGUCCGGAAUUACUGGGCGUAAAGGGCGCGUAGGCCGUGUUAUAAGUUAGUUGUAAAACGUGUGGGCUUAACCCGCGUUCGCAACUAAAACUGUAACGCUAGAGGCAUAGGGAGGCAGACGGAAUUCCUGGUGUAGCGGUGAAAUGCGUAGAUAUCAGGAAGAACACCGGUGGAGAAGGCGGUCUGCUGGCUAUGAACAGACGCUGAAGCGCAAAAGCCAGGGGAGCAAACGGGAUUAGAUACCCCGGUAGACCAGACAGAAAACGAUGUAUGCUGGGUGUGGGCGUAGCGAUACGUCCGUGCCGAAGUUAACGCGAUAAGCAUACCGCCUGGGGAGUACGGUCGCAAGAUUGAAACUCAAAGGAAUUGACGGGG
rnacentral:rRNA from 1 species